rnacentral:lncRNA from 1 species
AUUUGAUCGAAUCUCCAUUUUUAUCAUUUCCCUGUGACAUAUACAGGAUGAUUCACUAACUCUUGCCACCAAGAUAACUUGUAAAGUUUAGUCGCUUCCAAGAUUUAAGGGUCAAGUUUGUUUUUUUAUAUGGAAUACUAUAUUUUGGUAUUUAUUUUCUGAUAACGGCUGUUCAAGUUAUAAGUUCUUUCCCACCAACUUACACUAUAAAAAUAAAUUGUUUAAAUUAAUACUUCCUUUUCUUUCAAAUACUCAAUUCCGACAACAAUUUUACGAUUUUACAAUAAUCACAUUUACUUUUAGAAAGUACAAAAUAACAAAAAACUUCUAGGCAAAUACUUAAAAGAGUAUCGGCUAGAUUUAAAGAAAUGUAAAACAUAUAUGAGCCUCCCACUCUAUCUUCAACAAAAGGUACGAGGAAAAGUAAAAAUAACAAAAAAAAAAAGCAUUAUCCAUCGAUGAAUCUCUUAUAAUUGAUAAAAGAGAAUCAUCAAAAAAUUCUUUUUUUAUUUAUUAUAAACAUAGGUUAAUUAUUAACAAUAAUAGUACAUUAAAUGAACAGAAUAACAUUUUUCGCGAAAGUUAUAUUGCUCCCGUUAUAUUAUAAAUAAUAGUGAGAAUUCAUCAUGAUCGUCGAUCACGAUCCUUGAAUAUCACACCUCUAUGAAUUUACUUAUUACAUGUAAUGCAAUGCCAUGGUCUGAAAGUAGUAAUGCACUGGCCAAUUUAAAAAUUAACAAAAAAAAGUAUAACACGUCUGAUUGUAGCAACACAUCAUCAAAUAUUUUGCAAAAUAAUAAAAAUUUAUUGCUCAUUAAGCUAAACAAUACCAAACAUUUGAAUAAAUUAGUUUCAGUUUUUAAGAAAAUUAAUUGUAAGGAAAAAUUCACAAAUGUAGAAGAACCUUUUACAAACUUAGAAAAUAAAACUGAAAAUAAAAAAAUUAUCAAUAUAAUAUGUUUUAUUUCAACGAAUAAAGAUAAGAUGCAUCAAGAUGAAAGCAUCCAAGUACUUGCGAUGAAUGUAUAUGAAAAAACAAUUUUAUUCCCC